GAACGCGAAGAACCUUACCUACUCUUGACAUCUAGAGAAUCCAGCGGAGACGCAGGAGUGCCUUCGGGAACUCUAAGACAGGUGCUGCAUGGCUGUCGUCAGCUCGUGUUGUGAAAUGUUGGGUUAAGUCCCGCAACGAGCGCAACCCUUAUCCUUGUUUGCCAGCGAGUAAUGUCGGGAACUCCAGGGAGACUGCCGGUGAUAAACCGGAGGAAGGUGGGGACGACGUCAAGUCAUCAUGGCCCUUACGAGUAGGGCUACACACGUGCUACAAUGGCGCAUACAGAGGGCAGCAAGCUAGCGAUAGUGAGCGAAUCCCAAAAAGUGCGUCGUAGUCCGGAUUGGAGUCUGCAACUCGACUCCAUGAAGUCGGAAUCGCUAGUAAUCGUAGAUCAGAAUGCUACGGUGAAUACGUUCCCGGGUCUUGUACACACC
rnacentral:rRNA from 1 species